rnacentral:rRNA from 1 species
CCUACGGGAGGCAGCAGUAAGGAAUAUUGGUCAAUGGUGGCAACACUGAACCAGCCAUGCCGCGUGCAGGAUGAAGGUUCUAUGAAUUGUAAACUGCUUUUAUACGGGAAAAAACUUUCGAACGUGUUCGGAACUGAUGGUACCGUAAGAAUAAGGAUCGGCUAACUUCGUGCCAGCAGCCGCGGUAAGACGAAGGAUCCAAGCGUUAUCCGGAUUUAUUGGGUUUAAAGGGUGCGUAGGCGGACUUGUAAGUCAGCGGUGAAAGCCCGAUGCUUAACAUCGGAACUGCCAUUGAUACUGCAAGUCUUGAAUAUGUUUGAAGUGGGCGGAAUGUGUCGUGUAGCGGUGAAAUGCUUAGAUAUGACACAGAACACCGAUUGCGAAGGCAGCUCACUAAACCAUUAUUGACGCUGAGGCACGAAAGCGUGGGGAGCAAACAGGAUUAGAUACCCUGGUAGUCCACGCCCUAAACGUUGAAUACUCGAUGUGUGCGAUACACUGUACGCGUCCAAGNGAAAUCGUUAAGUAUUCCACCUGGGGAGUACGCUCGCAGAGUGAAACUCAAAGGAAUUGACGGCUGAGAGNGCGAGACGACGACGAGGGAGGAGG